rnacentral:rRNA from 1 species
UACAGAGGACUGCAAGCGUUAUUCGGAUUCACUGGGCGUAAAGGGUGCGCAGGCGGCCAGGUGUGUCAGGUGUGAAAGCCCGGAGCUUAACUCCGGAAUUGCGCCUGAAACUACUUGGCUAGAGCAUUGGAGAGGGUAGCGGAAUUCACGGUGUAGCAGUGAAAUGCGUAGAUAUCGUGAGGAACACCAGAGGCGAAGGCGGCUACCUGGACAAUUGCUGACGCUCAGGCACGAAAGCGUGGGGAGCAAAAGGG